AUCGAACGCUGGCGGCAUGCCUUACAUAUGCAAGUCGAACGGCAGCACGGGUGCUUGCACCUGGUGGCGAGUGGCGAACGGGUGAGUAAUACAUCGGAACGUACCUUAUCGUGGGGGAUAACGCAGCGAAAGCUGUGCUAAUACCGCAUACGCCCUGAGGGGGAAAGCGGGGGAUCGAAAGACCUCGCGCGAUUAGAGCGGCCGGUGCCUGAUUAGCGUGUUGGUGGGGUAAAAGCCCACCAAGGCGACGGUCAGUACCUAGUCUGAGAGGACGAUCAGCCACACACGGACUGAGGCACGGCCCAGACUCGUGCGGGAGGCAGCAGUGUAGAGUUUAGUACAGUGGGGGCAACCCUGUUCCAGCAAUGCCGCAUGAGUGAAGAGGGCCUUCAGUUUGUAAAGCUCUUUUGUCAGGGGAGAAACACCGGCUCUAACACGGUCCGGGAAUGACGGUACCUGAAGAAUAAGCACCGGCUAACUACGUGCCAGCAGCCGCAGUAG
rnacentral:rRNA from 1 species